rnacentral:rRNA from 1 species
CCUACGGGAGGCAGCAGUGGGGAAUAUUGGACAAUGGGGGAAACCCUGAUCCAGCCAUGCCGCGUGUGUGAUGAAGGCCUUCGGGUUGUAAAGCACUUUCGCACGUGACGAUGAUGACGGUAACGUGAGAAGAAGCCCCGGCUAACUUCGUGCCAGCAGCCGCGGUAAUACGGGGGGGGCAAGCGUUGUUCGGAUUUACUGGGCGUAAAGGGCGCGUAGGCGGCCACCGCAAGUCAAUUGUGAAAUCUCCGGGCUUAACUCGGAAAGGUCAACUGAUACUGCGGGGCUAGAGUGCAGAAGGGGCAACUGGAAUUCUCGGUGUAGCGGUGAAAUGCGUAGAUAUCGAGAGGAACACCUGCGGCGAAGGCGGGUUGCUGGGCUGACACUGACGCUGAGGCGCGAAAGCUAGGGGAGCGAACGGGAUUAGAUACCCCGGUAGUCCUAGCCUUAAACGAUGAAUGCUUGGUGUCUGGGGUUUUAAAGUCCCCGGGUGCCGUCGCUAACGCUUUAAGCAUUCCGCCUGGGGAGUACGGUCGCAAGACUGAAACUCAAAGGAAUUGACGGA